CAGAGUAUCGGACCUUCCAAAAUCGGUCCCAGUGUCAGGAAGGGCUAAUGUGGGCAUAGGAGUAACUUGAGACGAAAUACACGUAUUUCUAGGAGCCGGGGCUGGGUGUUUAAUUUAAAUUUUAUUUAUCCAGCAGUUGUUUAAUUGAUUAUUCUUGGAUAAGCAGGCACCAGGAGUCCAGCUAAUCCACAGGAGGGACCUUCGAGAGGUCCAGCUAGCUCGGACCAGCUGCCAUAGAAGAACGAAGGAAACCACCCGGGCCAUCAGCUUAGCUUCCGACCCACCACCAAAGUGUAGGAGUUCGUUGUAAUUUUUUCUUGUAAAUCUUGUAAAUAUGCUCUGAUAUCUCGUUGGACUUGAGAAAACUGGAGUUAAGUUGUAUUUGUUGUAUUAGUCUGGCGGUUGGUAGGAUUUUUGAGACUUUUUGACA